rnacentral:rRNA from 1 species
UACGAAGGGGCUAGCGUUGUUCGGAAUUACUGGGCGUAAAGCGCACGUAGGCGGAUUGCUAAGUCAGGGGUGAAAUCCUGGAGCUCAACUCCAGAACUGCCUUUGAUACUGGCGAUCUCGAGUCCGGGAGAGGUGAGUGGAACUGCGAGUGUAGAGGUGAAAUUCGUAGAUAUUCGCAAGAACACCAGUGGCGAAGGCGGCUCACUGGCCCGGUUCUGACGCUGAGGCGCGAAAGCGUGGGGAGCAACAGG